UCGGAAUUACUGGGCGUAAAGCGCACGUAGGCGGUUUGUUAAGUCAGGGGUGAAAUCCCGGGGCUCAACCCCGGAACUGCCUUUGAUACUGGCAAGCUUGAGUCCGGAAGAGGUGAGUGGAAUUCCGAGUGUAGAGGUGAAAUUCGUAGAUAUUCGGAAGAACACCAGUGGCGAAGGCGGCUCACUGGUCCAUUACUGACGCUGAGGUGCGAAAGCGUGGGGAGCAA
rnacentral:rRNA from 1 species